rnacentral:lncRNA from 1 species
CAUGUGACAAGUGGUAUGACACUGUAUUGAUGUAUGUGAAAUGUAUAGAGUCUUUCAGUUAUCAGAUAAUGUCAAGGAGUUGACAGCAUGGUGUCCGAUUUAAAGUGCAAACCUGUGUACGAGUAACAACAGUAUCAAAACAAUUCAAAACCAAAACAAUUCAAAACCAAAACCUAUUUAGACCAACCAAACCAAAACUAGCGACCAAAAACUAAU